rnacentral:rRNA from 1 species
AUGCCCUCCGCCUCGCUCCUCCCCGCCACCUCCGCCGGGGCGCAGCUCUGCCCCACCCUAGCAACGCCCCGCGGCCGGCGCCGAUGCUGCCGCGUCACGGCCGCCUCCGUCCCACCGCCUUCCGUCGGCCGCCGCGCCGUCUCCCUCGCCGGCGUCGCCGCCUGGCUCGCCACCACCGCCGGCCGGGCAGAAGCCAGUCCGUUCGACAACUACGUCAAGAAGAAGAAGCUGGAGCCACUGGAGACGUACGUCCCGGCCGUGCUGCUGACCCAAGACCAGUUCAGGGAUCUAGAGAAAUCCUUGGAAUUCGAGAAGCCAAGGUUUGAUGAGAGUAGAUCAUUGCUUCGCUCUGGUCCAGCAUCAUCUCUACGUAUCAAUAUUCGGGCAGUGGCACAAUAUGCUUCCAGUAAUGGCCAAGGCAAAACUGCCUCUGAUGCAGUGGAUGAAUGCUUACGAGCGUUGGAAGAUCUCGACUCGCUGCUACUAAAGGCUUCACGGAAAGACUCGUCAGCAUCUGUUGAAGUCAUGAGGAGCAAAAUCGCUGUAGCCCUUGGAGCACUGGACAACCUCCUGCAAACCGUGCCGUCAGCCGUUAUGGAUAAAGGAAAGGCGAUUGCUGAUGCAUACAGGACCCCUUCAGAUGGUUAUUAUGAAGAGGGUAAUGGCGCAGAGUUGGAUCCCAGCCUGAAACAGCUGCAGGACAUUCUAUAA